UCUAGAAGCUCAUGUCUUAGUUUCGAUAAUUCAUUUAAAUGUGAAGAUGCUGACCAAUAUAGUUACAUUAUCUUUGUUCACAUGUUUUCUUCCAUGAUAAAUGGCUUGAUGGUUUUGUUCUUUGUAGGUUAUCUUUUACAUCUUCCUCACCAUACAUCUUCUAGAAUUUGCAACCUGCUUAUCCAGUUUUACAUGUCACUUAUAUGUUUUUGGUGGUUUUUGGAAAUAUAUUUCUAUAAUAACUGUAUUGUGUCCACAACCACCUUGGUGACCAUGAAAAUGUAGUCAAGUUAUUCGUAAUCAAUUCUGCUUCCUAGUAGGCUACUGAUUUUUUUAUAUGCUAUAUUGUAUUAAGAGGUAAAGUUCAUUUAUUUGUAAGCAAGGAGUACAUUACCUCUAUUCAUUCAGAAGCUCCCCUAUCUAAAAUGAGAUAAUUGCAUCACAAAGUUCUUUCCAUUCUUUUGAAUCUCAAUGCCUUGUGGCUUUUGAUGUUUUCUUUUGAUAAAAAUAAAAAAGAUACCUAAGACUAUAUAUUUUCUUUUUAAAUUGCAGAGUUGGUGAUUUAGCUAACUGAUCAUGGUUUCACAGAAACUUAUAUCUUAUACUUUUCUAUUUGGAUGGCUUACCACACCUCGCUUUAAACAGGUCAGGUGGACUAUCGUUUAUGUACUGUUUUAUAGAAUUUGUAUGGUUUCUGAGUUUUACUUUUAGACUAUAGUAAUGCAUGCCAAUAUAUCAUGCCAAUAUACUGUAUGGUUUCUGAGUUUUAAUUUGUAUGGUAAAAUUUUUAAUGCAUGCCAAUAUAUCAAAUGUUGAGGUUGUUAACUCUGUGAAAUAUAUUAAGUAAAUCAUUGAGCUUGAAUUAUGUAUCAUGUGUUUGAUCAUGAUAGUAGUUUUUUAGAGUGUUUGAUCUUUCCAGUGCUCUUGGUCACCAAUUUACUUAUGUUUUGUUUGUAUGAUAACUACAUAGGUUUGUUAGUGAUGCUCACUCAAAAGGUGCAAAUAUCAUUCUCAUUCAGGUACACGUUUAGAAAGCUUGCUCUCUAUUCUUUACUGUUAUACUUGAAUUGCAUUGAGCUUCUUUAAUGGUUCUUUGUGUAGGAACUGUUUUUUCAUAUGUCAGACGUUGGUAUAUAUCUGUUUUUGUAAUAUAGUAACUCCUGGGGUGCUUGCAGUUUUGCGUGCUGUCCAUUUUUUAUUGUCAAUAGUUAAGUCGAUGACUAGAGACUGCAUCUUAUAUAUUGAUUUUUACUUUUAAACGUGUUGCAACUAAUUAUUGUAGGCGUCAGGACAUGCUCAUGGGGCUGAAGGCUCUGAAAUAUGUAGUUUUGAGGCUGCAGAGUUGAGUUUACUCUUACAAGGAACCUUAGGUAUUAAUGUGUCAUGCUUAGAUGUGAAGUAAUGAGAAUUUGAGAUGCAAGGAACAUACUUUACAAGGAAAACCUACAACAUCCAUAUGGGUAAUUAAGGUAAAUGGCACCUGUACUUUUAGUUAAUCUUUCUAACUCCUAUAAAAGUGGUUACUGUAAAACUUUAUACAGGAACUUCAAAGGGGUUGCUGCAAAUAUUUGGCGUGAUUUGUUUGCUUUUGAAGCUGAAGGGUUUUUAUGUUAAGUUCUUGAUCUCAAUCUUUAGUUCUUCAGUAGACGUGGAGUUUUGGUUGUUGUAGAUGAUUUAAAUGUAAUUUGCUUUAUAUAAUUGACAUUCAUAUUAAUUACUGACUAAAUUGUAAUUUUAUUAUUUUUGGGUAAUAAAUGUAAUUUUACUUAUAUAGUUGACAUUUAUGUUGAUGGUCAUUAUCAUUUCGAAAAUAGUACAAUCUACAGGUUUGUAUACA
rnacentral:lncRNA from 1 species